rnacentral:lncRNA from 12 species
CGCAUCUCGAGAUUUGUCUUCAGGUACUUAGAGUUCUCAUUGCACAGAGAAGGAAGAAGAGAAAACGGCAGAGGAAGCAGUGGGUGUGAGCAGAUAUUGUAGCAAUUGCAGCUGAAUCAGCUCCUGCUUGUGGAAUGUGCAAUGAGCUGGUGAUGGAGAGGCUCUGAACUUCCUUGGCCAGAGCAGAAGGUGAUGCAGUCUGAUAGGGAAAAGGGAGCAGAGCUGUAAAUGUGAGAGCAAAAAGGGAAUAGAGUAGCCAAGAAAUGUGGGUAGGUGAUUGCUUCUACUUUGUCUGAAAUCUUAUCCAAAAACUUACCUUUCCAUCUAGCAGUUUUUCCAUACUGAUCUACAUUCUUUUUUGUAGCAGUAUCCUUUGACCUGUAUGCCAAGCCAGGUAACAACAGGACUCUAACUCUGAUGAAUCCCAAAAAGUCUUUUUAUCAAUGGAGACUUCGAGUUCCUUCUAAUUAUGUGGUGAGACUGGUAAUUAUCAAUUAGCAUGGUGUCACUCCAGAGAGCUGUGCAUCUCACCACCUUUCAGCAUAUGAUUUCCUUCUCCCACUGCAGAACAAGAUCAUUACCAGGUGGUGUGGGCCUGGAGCCUGGACUCCUUCUGUUGUGCGUUUAACUUCAUCAAGUAAUGUAAUGCUGCUUACCUUCUCACUGGACCAGAGAGGAGAAAGCAACAUUUUAAAAGCUCACUUUCAAGCCAUUCCUAAAAUCAGUACGUAGUUAAUAGACACAAGCAUCUGAUGGAAGCACACUUAUUACUGGUUUAUUACUUAUAAGCACACUUAUUACUGGCUUUGCCUCUAAAAAAGUUGAUAUUGCCUUGAACAAAUCUGGGGGAGGGAGUGUUGGCAUAUAAAGCAGGCAAUUAUCAUUCUGAAGCACUUUACAGAAGACUGAGAAUUGAACAAAGAGGAGAGAACAUCUUUGGUCUGGGAGAUUUUGUCUUCCUGAUAACUACUCGAGCCUUGCCUGCCAGUCCUUGCACGGGUAACACUGAGCAGUGGCAGAGGAGCAGCAGCUGGGCAGACACAGGCACCGUGUGUCUAGGCAAAGCCAGAC